rnacentral:sRNA from 1 species
UUUAACAUCAAACUCAGAUGUUGAACGUGAAGGAUAACGUUGCGUCAGCAACGGCCCGUAGGGCAAGGCGAAGCCGAGUCAUCCUGCACGACCCACCA